UAAAUUUUUUUUUUUUUUUUUUAACUCAGCCCAUGCAGUGUAUAUUAAGAUUCUAGGACACUGUAGCAGGACUCUCAUCUAAUUAUUGCAUAGAUACACACUAAAACACGGCUAUCUCAUUUUAACUCUUAAUAUCUCAAACUCAACCCGGUAUAUCCUUUUUUCUAGUGCAGAGCAUAUUAUGAUUACAAGACACUGUAGCUUAAUUGUCAUCUUAUCCUUAGAUAAACAUGGGAAGCUCAUUUUAACUCUUAAUAUCUCAAA
rnacentral:misc_RNA from 1 species